CUCUAAAAUAGAAAGUUACCCAUCAUACUAUGCGCGCUCAAUGUUUAAGGUUUAAGAUUUUUGAAGGACAACCUUUCUUAUAUUAUAAAUAUUAUUUUGAGAAAGAAGUGACAAUUGUUUACGCCGCGGCAAACUAAAUGAAACGUAUAUAUGCAGUAUAUGCUUCUCGUUCAUGAUUGCAUUCACAAUUCAUUCAAUUUUUUCAGAUCUUCGCUAAAAUCCCAUUAAUCAUUCUGUUUGUUUCCUUUGUCUGAAUUGCUAGAUCAUGCUAAAAUGCAUGUUUGAUGGAACUCGCGAAACAUAUCCACCAUGAGUAUAUUAUAUGAAUAAAUGACCUUUCCCAUGACAUAUACUUAUAACUUAAUUGUAAAUGCUGCUUGCACUUGGCAUGGUC